rnacentral:rRNA from 1 species
GACGAACGCUGGCGGCGUGCCUAAUACAUGCAAGUCGAGCGGAAGUUGAAGAGCUUGCUCUUCAACUUUAGCGGCGGACGGGUGAGUAACACGUGGGCAACCUGCCCUGCAGAUCGGGAUAACUCCGGGAAACCGGUGCUAAUACCGAAUAGUUUUCGCCACCUCCUGGUGGCGUACGGAAAGACGGUUUCGGCUGUCACUGCAGGAUGGGCCCGCGGGGCAUUAGCUAGUUGGUGGGGUAACGGCCCACCAAGGCGACGAUGCGUAGCCGGCCUGAGAGGGGGAUCGGCCACACUGGGACUGAGACACGGCCCAGACUCCUACGGGAGGCAGCAGUAGGGAAUCUUCCGCAAUGGACGAAAGUCUGACGGAGCAACGCCGCGUGAGUGACGAAGGUUUUCGGAUCGUAAAACUCUGUUGUGAGGGAAGAACAAGUACCAACUAACUACUGGUACCUUGACGGUACCUCACCAGAAAGCCACGGCUAACUACGUGCCAGCCGCCGCAGUAACAC